rnacentral:rRNA from 1 species
GGGUGUGUAAGCGCAGCGAUGCGUUGAGCUAACCGGUACUAAUGAACCGUGAGGCUUAACCUUAUAAUGCGGAAG